UAAUAAUAUUAAUUUGUUCUAACACAGGCACACAUAUAAUUAUAUACAAUCAAUAUUUUUAACAAUCCAUUUAUAAUAGCAUGAGUGAUGUGAAAUUAUAUACAGUCAUGAACAUUGUAAGGAAAUGUACAAGUUUGCAUAGAACCAUAGAUAUUAGAGGACCUAGAAACUAAAAUGAAAUUGUGGGCGUGGCUAUGCUAAGUCUAAGAUUGCGCAUGCUCAGUAGAUCUAGAGCUGUGAAACCAUGUGCUCCAAGAAAAGAGAAGACGAUUACCCUUUCUAUAUGCUGGACAUUUGCUGCUAUAAAUCUGACUGUGAUGAUACUUCUGUGAGAGGUAUGACUGUGACUACACCAAGUGGAUGAUGAUACUUUUAGUUCUGUGAGAGGUAUGACUGUAACUACACCAAGUGGAUGAUGAUACUUCUGUGAGAGAAAUUCCUUAAACUGGCAAGCUUGACAUGCGAGAACAAACGAAACAAACAGACGAAUGGAUAGAAGUGGCGUCAUUGUUGGAUAAUUAUCCUCUCGGUGAUUGAUAAUACACGGUAAUAAUUAAUAUCAAUAACAAUGAUGUAUUUACUAUUAUAGGUGGACUCUGCGUGGUCAAGAGUGAUCGGUCUGCUAUACUUGUGAGUCCAGUAUGUAACACCAAGAAGAACUAUUCCUUGGGCUAAUUAAUUUAAAACUGUCCUUCUAAUUUAACAUUGUAUACCAUUGUCUCACUCAGUUGUCACGAACGUUUCCUAUCACUAUUUUUGUAUUAACAUGUUAUUUAUUGAAUUGAAUAAUAAUUGUUAUACCGA